UACAGAGGGUGCGAGCGUUAAUCGGAAUUACUGGGCGUAAAGCGCGCGUAGGCGGUUUUGCAAGUCGGGCGUGAAAUCCCCAGGCUUAACCUGGGAACUGCAUUCGAGACUGCAUUACUAGAGUAUGGGAGAGGGAAGUGGAAUUUCCGGUGUAGCGGUGAAAUGCGUAGAUAUCGGAAGGAACAUCAGUGGCGAAAGCGACUUCCUGGACCAAUACUGACGCUCAUGUGCGAAAGCGUGGGGAGCAAACAGG
rnacentral:rRNA from 1 species